rnacentral:rRNA from 1 species
ACAGUUUCAGGCGGGCAGUUUGACUGGGGCAGUCACCUCCCAAAAGGUAAUGGAGGUGCACAAAGGUUCCCUCAGGUUGGACGGAAAUCAACCAUAGAGUGUAAAAGCAUAAGGGAGCUUGACUGCGAGACUGACAUGUCAAGCAGAGACGAAAGUCGGUUUUAGUGGUCCGACGGUGCUGCGUGGAAAGGCCGUCGCUCAACGGAUAAAAGUUACUCUAGGGAUAAC